AAACUUUCAACAACGGAUCUCUUGGUUCUGGCAUCGAUGAAGAACGCAGCGAAAUGCGAUAAGUAAUGUGAAUUGCAGAAUUCAGUGAACCAUCGAAUCUUUGAACGCACAUUGCGCCCGCCAGUAUUCUGGCGGGCAUGCCUUGUUCGAGCGUCAUUU
rnacentral:rRNA from 1 species